UACGUAGGGUGCGAGCGUUAAUCGGAAUUACUGGGCGUAAAGCGUGUGUAGGCGGUCUACUAAGUCGGGUGUGAAAGCCCUGGGCUCAACCCAGGAAGUGCACUCGAAACUGGCAGGCUAGAGUACUGGAGAGGUUGGUGGAAUUCUCGGUGUAGAGGUGAAAUUCGUAGAUAUCGAGAGGAACACCGGUGGCGAAGGCGGCCAACUGGACAGAUACUGACGCUGAGACACGAAAGCGUGGGGAGCAAACAGG
rnacentral:rRNA from 1 species